rnacentral:rRNA from 1 species
UGGGGAAUCUUCCGCAAUGGACGAAAGUCUGACGGAGCAACGCCGCGUGAGUGAUGACGGCCUUCGGGUUGUAAAGCUCUGUUAAUCGGGACGAAUGGUUCUUGUGCGAAUAGUGCGAGGAUUUGACGGUACCGGAAUAGAAAGCCACGGCUAACUACGUGCCAGCAGCCGCGGUAAUACGUAGGUGGCAAGCGUUGUCCGGAAUUAUUGGGCGUAAAGCGCGCGCAGGCGGAUUGGUCAGUCUGUCUUAAAAGUUCGGGGCUUAACCCCGUGAUGGGAUGGAAACUGCCAAUCUAGAGUAUCGGAGAGGAAAGUGGAAUUCCGAGUGUAGCGGUGAAAUGAGUAGAUAUUAGGAAGAACACCAGUGGCGAAGGCGACUUUCUGGACGAAAACUGACGCUGAGGCGCGAAAGCAAGGGGAGCGAACGGG